UCAGGGUCAUCUCCUAACCCUUUUUUUCCUUUUCCCUUUUCCCGGGGCGUGGGCCCAUUCGUCCCCCGUCCCCUUCAUCACGGAACCAGGCCAAACGCCCAUAAACCGUUGACAACAGAUCUUCAGGGAUUACAUCUUCAUAAAAUAGAAGAGGAAGUCCAAGCUAUAGUUGACAAAGCUGUGCAAAAGUUGGGUACUGGAAAUGUGAGAGAUCUCCAUCUUUGUCCACCUUUUUCCACAGAAGAAUAUGUACAGAUUGCUGUCUUGAUUAAGUUUUACUUCAGGAAAUUCAUGAUACAAGUGAAUAGUUUCAUAUUUUGGCAGGAACCAGCUGAAUGUGGGCUGCCAUGGAAUUUUCUUGUGAAGAACAUCACAGGAACAGAGCUUCUUUAUUAGUCUGUUGAACAGCUGCUUGUAACUCUAGAUAACAAUCAAGUAAGGACUUAAUAGAAAUAUUAUUAGCAUAUCAUUAUUAUACUCUCACUUUUUACACUUUAAAUUAAAAACUUUUUUCCUGAA